ensembl:lncRNA
CGGGAAUGAAUUGGAAUGACUUACAGGCUGCAGUCCAGCAAUGGCUAGCAGUGAAUGGAAAGUCCAAGAAUCUAGAUUUGCUCAGUCCCAGUGAGGCUGGGUGUACAUUAUAUACAUUUCCUUGCUCAGCUUUUUUCUUUUCAUUAUAACCACACAAUGAAGUCAGUACUAGGCUGUUUGGAGAUUUCCUCCCAACAGAAUUCAUCCAGAUCUCUUCACUCUAACCUCAGGUAGACUUUUCAUACGAGGGCAAAAAGCAGCCAUAUGCUUCACUAAAAUACCACAAGAAUGAUCUCUAGGCAACUACUAACAUUCUUCUCUGAAACCUCUUGAGCCCUGCAGGCCCCCACAGUUCAAAUCGCUCUCAGUGCCACUGUGUUCCAUGCUCCUACGAUGAUGGCUCAUUAAGUCCUGCUUAAAAUGUCGAAUCUCUUUUCUAGUCCCCAGUCACAAACUGGUGCAUAUUUCCCCAAACUAAAGCAUUGUCAGGCCUGUCACAGCGACACACACCCCUGUCCCUGGCACCAAUUUGUCUUAGUGACACCAUGACCAUGACAACUCUUAGAAACAAAAACAUUUAAUUGGGGCUAACUUACAGUUUCAGAGGUUUAGUCGAUUGCCAUCAUGGCAGGGAGCAUGGUGGCAUGCAGGCAGACAUGCUGGAGAAGGAGCUGAGAGUUCUGCAUUUGGACCCACAAGCUGCAGGGUUACACUUCCUCCAGCAAGGUCACACCUCUCAAUGCCCGUCAAGUAGGGCUGUUUCCUAAUGACCAAACAUCUAAAAAUAUACGAGCCUAUGGGGGCCAUUCCUAUUUAAACCAUCACUGUGAACUUCAAUAAUUCAUUUUCAAAGUCAGGCCUAAAUACUUGGGUGAGGAGUUUUGUCGAGGAUUUUAGCAGUAUCUUAUGGCCAAUAACUGCAUGAAUAGACCAAGGGGAACUCAUUACUUGAAUGAAAAUAUCAGUAAUAGGGGAUUAUUCAUUCACAAAGGAUAUUUUACAAUUACUUGUCAGUGUUUGUUUAAGUCAGGAAUAAAGUUGUAAAGGUUAUUCAGAGAGUCUAUCCUGUGUAGCCAGAAUUUCAAGCGUUCAAUCUGUCUUUAAUUAUGCAUUUCACAGUUAGCUUCCUGACUUUGUAUAUGUGCCCCUGGAACACAGACCCUUCAUGCAGAUAAUUUCUCUUUAUUGACACGUGUCACAUUCACAUUCAUUCCUCGUGUUUCAUGCUCUAGGAACAUGACUAUGAACUGGCGAAUCUUCAGGGACAACUUCACUGGAUUUAGACUUAUUUAGGAGAUUGAUAGGUGUGUUUGUAAGGGUAUUUCCAGAGAGGACUAAUUGCUAGGGAGAACCCACCUUCCAGCCCAGAUAUACUAGAAAGGGGGAAGGAGAAAACCAGCUGAGUCUAUCAACCAUCCCCUUCUCCUUCUCUCUGCCUCCUGGCCUACCAUGGCGUGAGCUGUGCUGCUGCACUGUGCCCUGCCCAGCAUGCCCUGUACACUUCACCCUGUUCACUCCACCCUGCCCUGCCCACCCUGUCCUGUCCACCCCGCCCUACCCUGUCUAUCCUGUCCUUUCCACCCUGCCCUGCUGAAGCCACAAUGGAAGAAACCCUCCCUCAUUUCUGUUGCAUAUUGGGUUUUCUCUUUUCUUUUUUUAAAGAUUUAUUGAUUGAUUGAUUGAUUGAUUGAUUGAUUAUGUGGACAGUGUUCUGCCUAUAUCUCUGCCUCCAGGCCAGAAGAGGGCACCAGAUCUCAUUAUGGAUGGUUGUGAGCCACUAUGUGGUUGUUGGAAAUUGAACUCAACCUCUGGAAGAGCAGCUGGUGCUCUUAAUUGAUGAGCCAUCUCUCUAGCCCCCAUGUAUUGGUUUUUCAAGACAGGGUUUCUCUGCGUAACAGCCCUGGCUGUCCUGGAACUCUCUUUUGUAAAUCAAACUGGCCUCAAACUCACAGAGAUCUGCCUGCCUCUGCCUCCUGAGUGCUGGGAUUAAAGGCGUGCACCACUGCCCAACCUGCCAAGUAUUUUGGUCAUAGCAAUUAUAAACUGAUUAACACGAAAACAAAAAAUUAAUUUUCUGUUGACAAGAGGAAAAAAAGACAUACAUUAAGAGUAAUAAUAACUAACCUCAAAGGUUAUGAAUUGAAUCUGAUUGGAGCAAAUUUUAUUUUCUAGCUGUCUGAAUUCAUAAGCCUUUCUUGUUCUUGAACCACUCCACCUUAAAUCUUUCUGAAAGCUUUUUUUUUUUUUUUUAACUAGCUUGAAACAACACCCUCUUUAUAGAAAACACAGUUUUAGUCAAAUAUUAACUAUGGCAAUUGUGACCUUCAUUAGAACAAUAUCCAGAUAAACACUGAAAAGCCUGAGUAGUAAAAGUUGGGUGUGCCUGACCACAAUGGACAGGCAGCAGAACUGAAAGCCCAUCCUCAAACAGCCAGAUCAAGUGACUCUUGCCUAGGGUGAAUGAAUGAAUGGACGUUUUUCCUAUCCAAAGACUGUUCAUAAUAAUAAGAAUAUCAAUUUUUAAAGAAGAUAUUCUCAGAUGGGCACAGUGGUUAUGUCUAUAACCCUAGCACUCAGGAGGCUAAGACAGGAAGAGUGCUGUGAAUUCAAAUUGAGGGCCAGCUUGGGCUACUUAGUAAGUUCAUUGCCAACCUAAGGUAGGGUGAGAACCUAUCUCAAAAAUAAAAAAAUAAAAAGAAAGAAGAAAAUAUUCUCGAUGGGGUAGUUACGAUCCUAGAGACUGAAGAUAAGCUUUGAACAAGAAGCCAGGAAAAUUUCAGUCAUUUUAAGACAAGUUUUGGAUAGCAGCCACAGAUUUAAAAACCACUGUAAUUUUGCAAACUGUAUUUUAUAGCUCUACAGAGAAUUAGUUAGCUUUUGUUUGGGGGAAACAAUUCAGUGGGCUUUGGAUUAUGGAAAGACAGAUACAUAGGCUAGUGUAUAGAUAUGGUGAAGACCAAAUUCCUUCUGGAAGUUGUGGAAGUGCAAUGGUUCUAUACACACACAUACCGGAAGCUGUGGCAGUUCAGUGGUUCUAUACACACACACUCACACUCAGGAACACAAGAUUCUGUUACUUUCAAACAGAGAAGGUUAAGCGAUUUCCUGAUUAUCCUCCUUGUGGAGAUCCCAAAGCCAUGGCACAGAGAUUAUUUCAUUUAUUUAGAUAACUAAACUAUGAUGCUCUUAGGAACAACAAAACCCCACCUGGGUACAGGGAUUUUUGUUGUAUGUUUAUAUGGUUUUGAGCUCGGGCUGGUACCCAUGUACAUUUGAGAACUUAACUUCUAGGACCAAGUCAAUAUCAGAUCCUCCCCAUGGUGACCAAAUGGGACUUAGAGUCCAGGCUGUCCUGCUAACUAAUCUCUCUACCCUCUCAGCUUUUCUGCCUUCAGGCUCUGUUCUUUUCCUUCCGUGACUCCAAACUCUCAGAUCUGAGAGAUUCCUUAGCCAUUGUGAAAUUCCAGUCCCAAAUGCUGGAGAAGGAAAUGCUUUUCAGGGUUUGCCUAAGCAUUGCAGGGAAAUGACUCAGGCUUUGGCAGUGGUGGUUUCUGCCCAGUCUGUGUCAGCUCCUGGGGAGAUGGAUCCUCCUCUUCAUGGAGUGAAAGUGACUGGGGAAGGUUGGGUACUCUAUUCCCAGUUCAGCACCCUUCCCGACAAUGAUCAGCCAGUGAUUUCUCAGUGACUUCACUCCAAAAAUGAGGACAGGCCCAGACUAACAAGAAUAAUUACCCUGCCCAACCCCACACCCCCAUGGGGACAAAGGUUAAAGAAACAAACAUUAAAUAUCCCUAUUGGUGUGGUUGCUCCUUGCAAAGUUGUCUUGGCUAUUGAAGUAUUUGAUCUUUCCUAGGCUCAUGGUCUAUAAAUUAUAUCCUAGGUCUUCCUAUAAAGAAGGGGAAGUAUAACCUCAAACUAAAAUUCUUUUGUGUUCCAAGUUUGUUCUGAUGGAAAUCUAUCCUACUAGCAGCAAUGUAAUCUCCAAACAGAACAUGACUGCAUGCCUGAACCUCAGCAUCUGGGAGGCAGAGGCAGGAGGAGCACCACAAGUCUGAGCAGAAAAAAAAGAAAAUAAAGCUGAAGUGACAUCCUCCAGAGGGAUAGGCUUCUGGGAUGGACCGGAGCAACUCAUGUAACUGUUCUCAAGCCAGUGCUGCUGUUGGAAGGCUUCUAGCUUUGAGCACACUUAGUCUGUACACACCAGAGCAGUGUGAACGGACUACUAUAAAAUCACGAGUACAUUUAAGAAAAAGCAAUUGUUUACAAGCUUAGCUGAUCAAAGCAGAAGCAGGUACCCACAGCUAAACACUGAGCCAUACUCCUGGAAUCCAGUUGCAGAGAGGGAGGAGGGAUGAGCAAAGGAGCCAAGACUACUGGACAAACCCUCAGAAACAGUUGACCUGACCUAGUGAGAGCACGGAGAUCUCAGUGGUAAAUCUGGGGAACCAGCUUUGGACCAAACCAAGUCCUCAGAAUGUGGGUGCCAGCUAGGAGGCCAGGGCAAUCUAUGGGACCUCUAACAGUGGAGCCAGUGUUUAUCCCUAGAGCACAAAUGGCCCUUGGGAGCCCAUUCCCUAUGGAGGGAUACUAUUGCAGCCCAGAUACAAAAAAAAGAGGGCCUAGGCCUUCCCUCUAAUGACGUGACAGACUUUGAUGAUCCCUAUGGAGGGCUUCACUAUCCUUGGGGAGUGAGUGGGGGGGUUGGUUGGGGGGAGCGGUGGGGAGCAUGGGAGGA